AUCAUCUGCAAUGAAGAUCUUCCAGAAUCAUAUCUUCAUGAUAAAGAUAUGUGAUCCAAAGGAGGCUAAUUUACAGCUAACAACUUAGCUUGCUGUGCUGAAGCCCCAAGGUUCAUCUGUGAUCUCUUGCACUUUGCCAUCAUGAAUGUCACCAGAAAGGUGCUUGCUGGCUAUAUGUACAUCCCCUUUCCCACAUGUCUUGGUGAGAGCACAAAAGGAAACCUUAAAGGUAUCUACUACUCAGGCUAUACCAUUGAUCAUCUUCUCCAGUAUUUUCUUUCUUAGUGCACAAGGCAAUGCUGUGACAGUGAGAAGAAAGGCAUCACCCAUCAGUUCUUGUGAUGGAGGAAGGCUGUGCUGGUGGAAAGAAUGGUUUUUAGAGGUCUGUGUGGAACACAGAGCACCCUGCAUGUGUUGCUCCUCCUGCAGAGUGCACCAGUCUUCUUUUCGCUGUUUGUGAAUCCAUCAGGCAGCCCUGCAGCUCCACAGCUUAGAGCCAAGUCUGGCUGGCUGCAUGAGGCACAUGGGGGACGGGCAGAGGGACAAAGGGGAGUGCAGAAUUGAGGCCCAGCUGGUGGGAAAUGUUAAGAUGGAGGUGACUGUGGGGUGGCACGCUUAGUGUGCAAGAUGCCAGGAGCCUGUGAUGUCUUUGCAGAGUCCAAGCGGUACCACUGAGUGGGUUGACCUUCUCUCCCCCUGUCCACCUCGGGAUGUCAUCAUCUCACCCCUUAGUCCACUCCUGGACUGGAAAACCAGGGGUUGAAAAUCCCACACCGGCACUCCGCAUGGGGUUUUGGGAAACCUGUGUGAGUGCGUGUGUGUGUGUGAGUGUGUGUGUGUGUGUGAGGGAGGCACAUGUCCCAGGGAGGGGCCAUAUGUGCACAGCAGCUCAGCUGGAGUUCCCUCCUCCCUCUCCAAAGCAUCCCUGACACUCUAGGUGAAUAUUUGAAAGACAGGAUCGGGGCUUUGGUUCGAGAGUCUCUUUGUACGGUGCUAACUGGUUUCAGGGCUGUAAUUAUCUCUCCAAGAGAAGCUGUAAAUUGGAUUAAGGCACUGAGUUGCAGCUGAGUGAGCUCCCUCCAUUGCCCCACCUGGUGGGCUGCUGAGCGAUAACAAAAAAUGCCGAGAAAUCGGAUUUGGAUUCUGCUUCACACUCAUGGCUUCCUUCUGGAAAAAAUGAAAUUUUUCCGGCAGAAAGGGCUGGCAUGGGUUUGCUGGCAGUAUCAGUCCUGGGCUCGUAUCAUCUGCUGGCACUCUUCCGGAAACGCGAUCCCCUCCGUUAUCAGAGAGAAAUAAAUAAAUAAACAGCAGGAGAUGUUUUGGCAAGGAAGGAGGAAUCGCACCGAGAGGCGUGCGCAUCCGCACACACAUGCACGCACACAAAUACACACACACACACACACACUCACCUCGGCACGGGGUCCUCACAGCCCGAGCUGCCUGCCGCAGGCAGAGGAGAGAGAGGGAGGUGGCAGCACAGGCACAGGGAGAUGGUUGGGUUUGUUGUUUCGUUUUUAAGUUUUUGUCCUCUGGGCUGAAAGAAAAGCCCAUUUUUAGCAGCUUGUAUUGAAGGCGUAGAAGACAAAGGUGCCUUAUUUGUGAUACAAAUUCCUGCCUGCAUUUGGGGGACCCCUCCAGCGUCUCUACCUGUGCCCCAGGAAUAAGGCCGACUCUCCCUGGAUGUGAAAUUCAAAUGAUCUCCAAAGCUUCCCUGCGACCAUCACUCGCUGCACGCAGUGGUACACGCCACAUGCAGGCGCUGUGUGGAACGCGGCUGAGGACAGCUGGGGGGGACACACCAGCAUCCUAAGGGGGUGCCUGGGGUCCAGCCUGGAUGUGGCAUCCACCAGCACCAGGAGCUCGGUGCAGCGCUCUGAGAAGGGCAGCGCAGAUCACAGCAAGCACGGCAGUAUAACCAUCGAAUAUGGCAAGCAUCAGGAACAGACUGAAGCAUGGAGAAUGGCAGGCAAAUAUUGAAUGAGGUGGUGAACGUUGCUUUGGACAAACUCGCUCAGGAAAAUUCCUUCAGGGUUUUAGCUUGCUGGUCUGUAAAGGGAAGUUGUGAAGGUCAAACAUGUUUCAUGUCGUUCUUCUGUGUGCUCGGACUGACCAGAUCCGCAUGCACUUGGGAGAGGACACAGCACUGCCUACCCUAUCUGCAUGAGAAUAAAAGCUCUCCUGCGAAAAUGCGUAUGAUUGCUUUUUGGAAGAGAUGUAAAAUGGAGGUCUUAGCCAUUUGUGGUCACUGAAGAUCCCAUGGCUUCUUUUCAGAAGAUCGGAGCCAUUAGCCCUGGUGUCUUGGCUCCCUCCAGCCCCACUAACUGCUGCUCACCUGAUGCUGGGACCUUCAUUUGGGGCCACUUUCUGCCCUGCCUGUCCCAGGGCUGUGCAGUUCCAUCAGUGGCCAGGGCCCUCCCACAAGAAGGAAGUCUUCAAGAAAAUUCCACUUUGAGUGAGAAAAAUUCCACAUCAGGAAUGUUUGCUGGGACCCCGAGGGAUGCAAAUGGCCCUAAGACUCCAAAGAUGCCCAUUCCCAGCCAUUGUCUGAGAAGAGUACCCAGCCCAGGCUCAUCCCACACAGCUGCAGUGGUUGACUAUUAGCUGGGAGUGCAGCUGUGUGUCUACAGGGUCAGCUCUUGUCCAAAUAGGAAAAAGACCCUGCCAUUUGCUUCCUGAUGCAGAAGUAUCUGAAAAAGGCGCUUGGCAAACAAAAUUGUAGAUGUCUGCUCUUCUCUCUUGCUUUGCCUCUCUCCAUGCUGCAGCCAGAAGGGAUGCUGGGGAGCAGGAAUGCUACUUUUGCAACCUGUUUUCAGGAGAUCCCAGCUUGGGUGUUACAAGGGAGCUGCAGACAGGAAUGACUGAAGGAGAACAAAAGUCGUACUCAAAUGGCUUAGGUAGCAAGAAAGAAUUUUCCUCCAAGACAGUAUUCUGAAGCUUUGCCAAGGAAGAUGGGUAAUGUCCUUCAAUCAUCUUCACUCCUCCUCCUUUGCCUCUAGCCCUGGCUAUUCUCCACUGCGGUCUGCUCACCCUUCGGGCAGCAUGGGAGGUAAGGACCCAUAUCUGGUUUGUUACCGGGUUUUCCUUUGGUUCCAUUUCUUUAUCUCUGCAUCUUAAAUGUGCCCUCAUGGAACCAUCUGCCUUUGUUAGGAGUUUCCUGAACUCCACACAGUGCCAAAGCUGGAAGGGACUUCUCCCAGAGCUCAGUGGGCAUUUCGCUUCUGAGGCAGCUGGAAGGCUGCCUGUCAUGGUUCUUCCAUCUCCUCUCCCUGGGGAUUUUCCCCCUCUCAGGUUCAAGGUGGAGAGGACAUUCCCUGCUAAAUCAGUCCUGGCGCACAGCGCACAAUGGCAUGCAGAGCCAACCGCAGGUAACAAAUUGCGUUGCAAUAAAUGAAGGGUUUGGAGCCAGACAAAAUGUGCGACAUUCGAAGUUCUCAGCUCUCCUCCCUCAGAAAGGCAAUCUGUGACUUCUGGGCCCUCCUUAAUGACCCAGAGCCGGAUGGAAAAUAAUAUUAAUAAUAAUAAAAGAAACAAAGAAGGGGCUGGCGCAUUUUUUAAAUAAAGAAAUUUCCCUCAUCUUGCGGUUAAUUUAAAAGGUUUAUUUCUUGAAAUGAAUCCUCUUCAUCAAAUCUCCGAUCCUUGAAAAUCAGUGCAACCUGCCUCUGUGGAUAAUGAAUUGAUUUGUAAUGUAAAUUAUAUAAAACACCCUCCCCGCCAGCAUUUGUGUGUGAGUGUGUUUAAUCUAAAGCGUUUAAGUCUGAAAAUGAGCUUCUCCAUCAAAAGUCUCGAUUCCAUUUACAUUUCUUGCAUACGAGUCAAUUUGUGUCUGACCCAGUCUAUAAAUCACUGCCAAGGAGUGCUGUGUCUGUACCUCUCCUCUUCCCCCACCCCCUCCCCUCAUCCUUCCAUCCUUGCACAUGCUAUCUUCAAAACGGCAUCUUCAGAUGCCGCCUGUAAACAGCCCCCAUUCUUUGGCCAAAUGCUGGCUAGAGGAUGAGGGACCCUGGCCCCAAGAGGUGUGCAGUAUGGGCAGCAGCAGCCAGGCGAGAAGUCCUGCUCUGCUGCCAGCUGCUCAGGGAGAGUCUCCCAGGGGAAGGUGCCCUCUCUCUCGGUGGCUCCUUUCCAACACGUGGUUGCUUGGCCACCAAAGGAGUCCAUGGCUGAUGCAUGUUACAGGUUACGACCAGGUCUUCUGCAAGUGUACAUUAACAUGGCCUUGGAAAAUCCACCAAGUGGGAAUCAUUUACACCACCAGAGUCUUUGUCUCAGUCUUUGUCUCCCCACGUUUCCCAUCAUGCCAACAUUCAUCCUUCACCUCGUCCUAUUGGAAUACCUCUUUAGCUUUCCUUCUGCGUACUGAAACCAGUGGACCCUCCCCUUGCUGGUUGGAUCUCUGUACGAUAAGUUCACAAGACCCUUUGGAAGAGCAGGGAACAUGCAAACAGUAAUAUCUUCAUCUAGAGGGUCUUGUGACAUCUGCGUGAUAGUAUUAAAGGUGGCUUAGUAGUGAUGCACCUGAGGACAAGCAGGCCAGGAGGUCAUUACUUCAGGUCCCUUCUAUGAAGCAUCAGCAGUUCUGAGGCUGUGAAAUGCAGCUUUCACAGGGCUAUGUUCCAUGGCUAACACAGAAUGCGAAUGGGACCAACAGCCCAUCAUUGACUCUAGUGGGGAAUUUUCUGACACGCUUAUUUUUCUGCUCUAUUUUUUUUCCUUCAGGAAAGACACAAUUGAAACUGAUUUCUAACGUUGGGAGAAAAAUGGAAUCAAGUUUGGAAAUAUUUCAUGAGUCCAAAUUUGAAAAAAUCCAAUAUAUUGGUGUGAAACAGCUUACUGCUCUAGUUGCGGUAUGGAUGCAGUAAAAAGAAAAUUGGAAUCUGAAAUAACGAUUAGGAAAUUGCUCAAAACAAGUUGAGUUUGAUCAACUGAUAUUUCCUGGUUUUGUUUUUGUUUUUUUUUUUUUAAUUUGAAGAGUUGGUGUUGGCUGGCUGGCUGGCUGGAGUUAUAAUGGUGAACUUGCAAAACUGUUCAAGACUUGUGAUGGAAAAUAUUUUUGAAUUCUAAAAAUUUGUUCAAAGCAAGGAAACAAUUUCCUACCCAAAUUCCACUAAUUCUUUCACAAGCAGUGAUUUUUUUUUUUUAGCAGACAGAUUAAGAAAGUCCAGGACAGAGGGCUGGAAUCACAUCUUCGCUGAUAGAAAAUACAUACUGGAAUAGUGCAGGAUUCUCCCUGGGUUUGGCAGUCUGGGGCAGGGACUGUUGCAGAUUUACUCAGAUGAGAACACAGAACACAUCCAGAUCUCCAAAAGAGCAUGAGAUGAAGAACAGGACCAGCAGUCACAUGCCCUACCUGCAGCCAUUGGUGUCCUCUCUCUGCAAACUUUGACCUUCCCAAAUUCUGCUCUCUCUGAGCCAUCCCAGCAGAGGGGGAUUCAAUCCUUUGCCACUGGCUACUUCAAAAUGGGGAAGUGAAACAUCAGACAAGUGAUGUGAGAACUCAGCUCGAGCUGGAAAGUCAAUCUGAGGUGAUGGUCUUCUGAAAAGCCUCAGUUCACAGACCUACUACUGGUAAGGUGUUUCCUCUCUGUGCCUUGUUAUUUACCUUUGAAAAAGGGUUAAUGCUUGUUUUCUCCUAGAUUUUCAUACUGUAGAUAUAAGGUCUUUAGUGCACGGUCUGUAUGUUACUGUAUGAGCAUACAGCUCCAAGCACAACAGGGAUUCUGGCCUGGGAGAGGCCCUUACAAACUGCUCUAAUACAAAUAGGAGGAAGAGUUUUUCCUCGAGAUUACCCCGGGGGGAUUGAGGUCAGACCUUCAGUGAAGGAAGACACAAACCUAUUACCAGUUUCUGUGGGGACUAAUACAGUUUGCACUUCGUUAGAGGAAUUCAAAGUGAUUCGUACACAUUAAUUACUCCUUGCAGCAUCCCAGCUGGAUAAAUAUUAUUACCUUCAUUUUACAGAAAGCGUAACUGAGAUGUAGAGAAGUUCGUUUGUUUGACUCCAACUGUACAGCGCGCCAACGGCAGAAGCCAGGAAUAAAACAUGAGAGAGGACUGCCAGUCCCACCUCCCUCUAAACUAUGGGUCCCAAAUCUUUUUUGCCCAAGCGAAGGGAGCAGCUGCAUCCCCCGGCUGGGCUGGGCACUGCCGUGAGGGCUCUGCACACCGAGAGCAGUGCAUGCGGCACCGCCUGGGAGGCACCGCUCCAAGCCUCAGCCUGCAUCGCCUUGCACAGACAGGAGGAGGAAAUGAAAGUGCAAUUAGCUGGAAACAAAUGAAUUCGUGUUGCAUAUAUUUCCCAAGCUGAUGGGUUGGUGAAUGAACCACUCGUUAUUUCAUGAAGCAGCAUCUUUAAAGGUCUGUAGAACAACUUGGGAAAAACACAGCCUUGCUGUUGUGACAUUUUUUGCAGUAUUUCCAAGCGCUGUCUGUCCCGGUUGCAGGCAUUGGUGCUUCUAUAUUUGCAUAUUUUUUUUCUCAUCAAAAGGAAUUGUUGAAGUUUUGUAGUUGUUUUAACUUCUCGCCUUGGAUAUUUCAGUUCUUCACAUAACCACAUUUUCAGUGUCAGCACGUGGCCUAGAAAGAAAAUAUUUGGUACCUUAAAUACCAAACUCUCUUCUGUCCUAUUUUCCCACCUUUCCUAUACUAUACCGUUGCUUAACAAUAAGUGCUCUCCUCUCCAAAAGGAACACUUCUUUAAAGCCAAAGGGAUUUAAAAAGGAAAGAGAGAACACAAAGCAGAAACAAAAAUACAGAACAAAAGAGCAUAAAACCGCGAGUUGGUUUUGAGUUUGAACUACAAUUUCUUCUUAUGAUUACUGGGGAAAAAAAUAACAUACCUUAAAGAAAAGAUUCCUUUUUUUUUUUUUUUUUUCCUACAAGAAAAUCUAUGCAUCCAGAAAUUUCCCAACCAUUUAUAAUCUGUCGCAUUCCCCUGUGUGGUGAGCAGAGGCACUCGGUAUUCCUCUGCCGCGGCAGAUAGGCUCAGAAGAUGAGAGCAGAGUGAUGAAGUGUGAGACCAGAAGUGUGAGCUUCCCAAAGGUGACAAAAUGGGUUCUCCAGGUAAGAGCUCUGAGGACAUCACAAGAACAAUAGUAAGCUCCGCUAUAUUAAGUAUUGAGCUCGCAUCCUGGCAGAUGCUAUUUUUCAGCCUGUGGUCUGCAGAUCCCUGGCAGAGCAGGGACUGCUGUGAGGAGGGUGGGAAAAGCGAUUUCAGCAGCGCUUUCCAGCAGUUUGGGAGCUGCCUGCUGGGGUGCUGAGCCUUCGCGGGAGCUUUUCUGGGAGUUCACAAAUCAAAGCAAGUUGAAAGGCACCGCAGCAGGAUAAUGUUCUAUUGAUCGCUUUGUUUUUGCAGAGGAUAGAUUUUGUUUAAUCUUCCUCUUCCUUAGAUUGCUCAACGCCAUUAGUUCUAUCUUCACUAAUAUCAAAGAUAAAAAAUCACUAGAGGAGAGACUUUCUAAUGCUGUUUGCACAACUUUCUGGCAGGUGAUGGCAUAGGAAACGAGCAAAGCAUGGACUUGAAAGUUUGAGCGCUUACUGUAUCCAAAACAGACUGAAAACCUAGGAACGAAGAGCCAAGAGCUGGACAGAGGGAGACAGAGAGCCCCUGUUGGUUCAGGAGCCCACCAGCUUACCCAUGGCGGUACAGUGGGGCUGCACAAGGUGGGUGUUGCAGGGAAACCCUUUGUGAGCAGCAUCGUGGUCUACGGUGGGGGUACGGGUGGAUGCAGCACCUCGCACCCAGGGCAGCAGGUCCGGGCUGGGGGGGAUUCCUCUGGGUACCUGCCCUCCACAGCACCCUGUAUGCCCACGUCUGCUUGGCCCCCAGCCACAGUCAGCCCAGAGGAGGUGGGGGGGAGGUAGAGGGAGGGGGGAUGGAGGGAAGCGGCUUCCGCUCGGCAAACACAAACUUGUUUCUCCUCCUCCUCCAUCUUUCACAAAUUCCUGGUGCCCGUCACCCCGCUGGCCGCUCUGAGGGUUUUAAUCAAAAGGGAAACCAACAUUUGACGUGCGCACAGUGGGGAGAGGAGAGGCGACGAGGAGGGAGGGGGCUGCCAGCCUGAGGCCAGACAAUGUCCCCAUAUGGAGAACAGAAGGAUGCCGGGGCGGUCGCAUUCAGAGCUGUCCCUCUGCUCCCCCUGCGCCGCAUGGCUCCUGCUUGGUGGACGGGCUCUUAACAUAACAAGGGGGGUGCGGGGGCGGCCAGCCUGUGCUCACACCCCCGGAUUCCUCCAGCCCAUCCCUGGUUUCCCAGCUACUGAUCCCAGCAGCCCAUGCCCUCUCCCCGUACCCGUUCUCAGCACAUCCCCGGCAGCCCUAUUGUCUGCCAGCCUCUGAGAUGGGAAGCGAUGCUCCUGGUCCAUGCCUGAUAAAGGGCAAUAAAUAAAUAGAAGAAAAAACAAUACAUGUGUCCGUGUGCAUACGUACACGUAUGUAUGUAUACAGACGUACGUCUAUGCAAUAAAUAAAAC
ensembl:lncRNA